rnacentral:rRNA from 1 species
GACGAACCGUGCGACCGUUAUUCGGAAUCACUGGGCUUAAAGGGCGCGUAGGCGGGCCGAAAAGUCAGGGGUGAAAGCCCCCGGCUCAACCGGGGAAGUGCCUUUGAUACUGACGGCCUCGAGGGGGAUAGGGGCGUGCGGAACUUCCGGUGGAGCGGUGAAAUGCGUAGAUAUCGGAAGGAGCACCGGUGGCGAAAGCGGCGCGCUGGAUCCCUUCUGACGCUGAGGCGCGAAAGCCAGGGGAGCGAACGGG